UACGUAGGGGGCAAGCGUUAUCCGGAAUUACUGGGUGUAAAGGGAGCGUAGACGGCUGUGCAAGUCUGGAGUGAAAGGCGGGGGCCCAACCCCCGGACUGCUCUGGAAACUGUAUGGCUGGAGUGCAGGAGAGGUAAGCGGAAUUCCUAGUGUAGCGGUGAAAUGCGUAGAGAUCGGGAGGAACACCAGUGGCGAAGGCGGCCUACUGGGCUUUAACUGACGCUGAGGCACGAAAGCGUGGGUAGCAAACAGG
rnacentral:rRNA from 1 species